rnacentral:rRNA from 1 species
GAUGAACGCUGGCGGCGUGCUUAACACAUGCAAGUCGAGCGAAGCACUUUUGCGGAUUUCUUCGGAUUGAAGCAAUUGUGACUGAGCGGCGGACGGGUGAGUAACGCGUGGGUAACCUGCCUCAUACAGGGGGAUAACAGUUGGAAACGGCUGCUAAUACCGCAUAAGCGCACAGUACCGCAUGGUACCGUGUGAAAAACUCCGGUGGUAUGGGAUGGACCCGCGUCUGAUUAGGUAGUUGGUGGGGUAACGGCCUACCAAGCCGACGAUCAGUAGCCGACCUGAGAGGGUGACCGGCCACAUUGGGACUGAGACACGGCCCAAACUCCUACGGGAGGCAGCAGUGGGGAAUAUUGCACAAUGGGGGAAACCCUGAUGCAGCGACGCCGCGUGAGCGAUGAAGUAUUUCGGUAUGUAAAGCUCUAUCAGCAGGGAAGAAAAUGACGGU